GGCCUGGUGGGAAACACCAACGAAGCAGUCAGAUUUUAACAAGACUGGGGACCUGAAAGCCAGGCCGGAGCCUCUAACACGCGCCAUGGCUGGAGAAGUCACUGAGAUGAGAAAACUGAAGCUCAGAGAGGUGAAGUGACUUACCCAGGGACACACAGCAAGUGGGAGAUCCUCUCAAGAGAAGUUAAAGCCACACCCAGCUGUCGUCCUUUUCUGCUGAGUCCACAUCUGGUUCAAGGAAGCACUCACGCAUUUCUUGGCAUGCCUUAAGGUAAGUCAGUUACAUAAUGAUCAUCAUCGCUGUCAUCAUCCCCACCAUCAUGAUCAUUGUCAUCAUCAUCAUCUAAACCACAUUUGUCUAAUAGGCAAACAUGUUCUAAAAGUCCAGAUAGUCAAUAUCUUAGGACUCUCUGUCCAUUAGGUCUCUGUCACAACUACUCAACUCUGCCUUCAUAGAUCUGCUUAGUAACCACAGAUACUAAAUGAAUGAUUAAAUGAAUGAGUGUGGCUGUGCUCCAAUAAAACUUUAAUUCCAAAAAUAGGCAGCCAAUCAUAGGCUGUGGUUCUGCAGACCCUUGAUCUGAACAGACUUUGGAAAUAAUAUUUCCUGACUACAGGAGAAUCCAGUGAUCAAGCAGCCCUCCACCAAAGGACACAAACCUGCCUGUCAUAGACCCUCAGUCUGGGCAAAUGUUCACACUUAGGCAGAAGUAGAGAAACUAACAGUGAUCACCAUGUGCCCACACUCGGCUUCAGCAGCUAUCACCUUUCUGCCAUUCUUAAGACUGUCUUCAAAGAAAAAAAUUGAAUGGCAGUGGUGGGGGCUAAGAGACAGCCAAGUAGAAUGUAAGAUUAAAAGGAAAAAAGAGCAUCCAAGAAACAUCUUCCCUCUGUUGGAGAUGCUUGUAGCUGUCUCUUUAAGUCAUCUCAGAAGCUCUGAUGGUUUGAGGUCAGGGAGCUCCUAGAGCUUCAAACCUCAAGGCAGAGAUAUUUUCUGACACAGCUGCCCUGGCCUUGUCUGACUUCCUAGAAUAGCUGAGGAGAGCUGCCAGGAUGCGUCUUCCAUGAAAGUUAAAUGAUUUCUGUGAUUCUUGCUGAUGGUGGCAUCUUGAGGCCAUGGAAAUUUCCAGGGGCAGCUAUGAGUUGGGACACCAGACCCACCACCUG